AUUGAACGCUGGCGGAAUGCUUUACACAUGCAAGUCGAAAGGCAGCACGGGAGCAAUCCUGGUGGCGAGUGGCGAACGGGUGAGUAAAGUAUCGGAACGUGCCCAGUCGUGGGGGAUAACGUAGCGAAAGUUACGCUAAUACCGCAUACGAUCUAUGGAUGAAAGCGGGGGAUCGCAAGACCGCGCGCGAUUGGAGGGGCCGAUGUCAGAUUAGGUAGUUGGUGGGGUAAAGGCUCACCAAGCCGACGAUCUGUAGCUGGUCUGAGAGGACGACCAGCCACACUGGGACUGAGACACGGCCCAGACUCCUACGGGAGGCAGCAGUGGGGAAUUUUGGACAAUGGGCGCAAGCCUGAUCCAGCCAUGCCGCGUGCAGGAUGAAGGCCUUCGGGUUGUAAACUGCUUUUGUACGGAACGAAAAGGUUUGGCCUAAUAAGCUGAGCUCAUGACGGUACCGUAAGAAUAAGCACCGGCUAACUACGUGCCAGCAGCCGCUGUAA
rnacentral:rRNA from 1 species